AAACAUCUUUGAUAGAAAAAUAUUUUUGGUUUUCCCUGCUCCAUGCUUAAGUAAAUAGCUGCAGUAUACUGACUGUACAAAGGUAGCAUAAUCACUAGCUUUUUAAUUGAAAGCUUGAAUGAAUGGGAGAACGUAAAAUUAACUUUAUUAUUUAAAAUUUUUGAACUUGAUUUUUAAGUCAAAAAGCUUAAUUUCAUUAAAGGGACGAGAAGACCCUAUAGAAUUUGAAAAGUUCUUUUUUUUGUUGGGGUAACUGAAUUAUAACUAUCUUUCUAUUUUAUUGAUGAAUAUUCUUAAGAUCUUUAUUUUAGAUUAAUAGAAUAAAUUACCUUAGGGAUAACAGCAUAAUUUUUUUAAAAAGUUCUUAUUAAUGAAAAAGAUUAUGACCUCGAUGUUGAAUUAAAUUUUAACUAGGUGCAGAAGUUUAGUUA
rnacentral:rRNA from 1 species